CUUUUGUUUCCUUCUCUCUUAACUAACAGCGUGAUCCAGGAUUUGCAAGUCACUUAUUCUCUAAAUGACAUUCUCUUUAUGAUGUCCAGGCUGGCUAGGAGAGGAAGAGAGGCCAGGUGGGGAAUGGAAAGAAAGGAGGGAUCCAGAAGCUGAACAUUACCAUGACAGCAGAAAACAAAUUCAUUCUGUGAACGGCAGGCCUUCGCAAAUCCUUGUGCACUAGAGACCUUUAAAAAAGGAGAAGCCGAGAAUACUGAUCGUGUUCUAAAGAGCGAAAACAGGUGAUGUCAUAACGCACAGUCCUGUGUGGUCACAGCCAAGGCCGGGUGGGGAGCUGGGGCUCCAGUGAGACGGAGCUCCGCGCCAGUGGGUGAAGCAAGUUAUCUCCGGGGCCCGGAGGACACCGGUGAGGACCGGGCACCAAUCAGAGCAUGGACGCCAAAAUCCUGACUCACCAUUUUUAGCUUUGGAAGAGGCAGGUCCAGCCCAACAGUUUUAAAAGGCAAUUUGUUCUCUGAACCUUCCUUCCCAAGCAGGGCUCUGUGCUCUGUGUGUGUCUGGCCAGCCGUCUCAGAAAGGGCUUUUGGGUGAAGAGGAUAAACCUGUUUCUUUGGCCCUCUCGUGCUGGACAAAUAAAGGAAGUUUCAUUGCUGAGAUGACUGCGAGAAGGGGCUUCAGAUCGAGGAGAAAACCGCUAAACCAGAGGUUUUGUCUUUUUUCCCCCUCACUCGAUUAAUGGUGUAAAUAUACCUCAAACAUCUAUCCCCUAACCCCCGCCCAAACCUCAGGUAACUGGUCUUUUGUAAAACAAGGGUCACGAUAAAUGAUGCAUAAAGUUCUUUGAGAUCCCUGGAAGCAAAGUGCUACGUGACUGCAGUCUUCCUUACAGCUAAGCUAAGAUUGUGGCUGAGAGAAAGCCUAACCGCUGCCCUGAUGGUAUGAACGUUUCAGUUCCCCCUCCCUUCCCAACCUUUCUCAAGAAAUCAGGAAAUUUUUAGCUCAGUCUUAGACCCGCUAGCGAGCUCUAGCUCCCAGUUAUUUUUCUCACCCUCCUCACCAUUUCUGCAGGGACCUAGGGAAGGGGGCGUGGCCUGCCUUAGAUAAGGGGCUGGGCUCCCCGGGAUAAUUUGCAUACAACACACCCUCUUUCUCCUAUUGGCGGAGCAGCACAAACUAUAUUCCCUCCCACUUCACUACCUAACUAACCCGCCAGCUCCCUUCAGUUCGGAGCCUCGGAGACAAACUUAACUUGCCCGGAGAUUCAAGGCGUCCUCGGCCUCUGUGAUUGGCCGGCGCAGCUCCCAGCCGGGCUCUAGUUGCUCAUUGGCUGCGGGCUAGCGCCCCGGGGGCGUGGCCGGAGCUGUCCGAUUGGCGGGAGGGGGCGGUACCGGAGCGCGGUGGUGG
rnacentral:lncRNA from 1 species